rnacentral:rRNA from 1 species
AUGGAAGAGAGGGGAAGCAUCGGAAGGGACGGAGGGCAGCAGCAGGACGGGAAUGGGAGGGCCGUGGCCAUCGCCGACGGCGACGUGAUAGAGAUGGAGGCAGCGGCAGCGUCGACGGUCGCUUCUUCUGGGCAACAAGGCGAUGAUGCGGCCGGCGGCGUCCACGUCCAGGGGCCUAGGUGGAAGAGAUUUCUAGCAUACGUUGGACCAGGAUUUCUCAUCUCCAUGGCUUACCUGGAUCCUAGCAACUUGCAAACUGAUUUGCAGGCUGGAUACAGUCACAGAUAUGAGUUAUUAUGGGUACUCUUAUUCGGGUUCAUCUUCGUGUUGAUUAUACAGUCGUUGGCAGCGAAGCUUGGCAUCGUUACAGGAAGGCACCUCGCGGAGCUGUGUAUGAGUGAAUACCCCAAGCCUGUCAGGUACGGCCUAUGGUUUUUCGCCGAGCUAGGUGUGAUUGCUGCCACUAUACCCGGAGUUCUUGGAACUGCUUUAGCAUACAACAUGGUGCUUGAUCUUCCUUUCUGGGCUGGUGUACUGAUUUGUGCAGCAACUGUUAUACUGCUUCUCGGAUUACAAAGCUAUGGGGUCCGGAAAUUGGAGUUCAUGAUUGCAGUGUUUAUGCUCAUCAUGGCCUCUUGCUUCUUUAUAGAGCUGAGCCAUGUCAAUCCUCCAAUGAAUGAGUUAAUUGAAGGGUUAUUUAUCCCAAGACUUAAAGGACAUUAUGCUAUCUCCGAUGCAGUCGCACUGAUCAGUGCCCUUGUUGUACCGCACAAUCUCUUCCUACAUUCUUCUCUUGUUUCAUCAAGAAACUUACCAUCAUCCUCUGAAGCAGUUAAGGAUGCAUCUGUGUUCUUCUUGCUAGAGAAUGCAUUCGCUUUGUUUCUUGCGCUUGUCAUAAAUGUUGCCAUUGUAUCACUCUCUGGAACUAUAUGUGCUGAUAAUCUUUCACUGGAUGAUACGAACACAUGCAGCAGUCUCACUUUAAAGUCAGCAUCCGUACUAUUCAAGAAUAUUUUGGGACGGUCAAGAUCAAUUUUUUAUGGUUUGGCAUUAUUAGCUUCUGGACAAAGCUGUGCAGUGGUUACCACCUACUCUGGGCAAUACAUUAUGCAGGGAUUCUCAGGGAUGAGGGUAUUCAUCAUAUACCUUUUUGCUCCCUGUCUCACCAUGGUGCCUACUUUGAUAAUUUGCGGCAUUGGUGGUGCUUUACGAGUUCGUCAACUUAUCAAUAUAGCAGCGGUCAUAUUGUCGUUUGUGCUGCCAUUUGCUCUCGUUCCUCUCCUCAAAUUCAGUAGCUGUUGCUCAAUGAUAGGACCAUACAAGAACUCAACAUGGAUCACGAGAAUAUCAUGGAUCCUGUCGUUGGUGAUCAUCGGCAUCAAUACUUAUUUCUUUUGUACUAGCUUCGUCAGUUGGCUUGUAUAUAGUGACCUACCAAGAUUUGCUAAAGCAAUAAUUAGCACCCUCGUCUUCCCUUUCAUGGCGGCCUAUAUUGUAGCGGUCAUUUACUUGGCUUUCAGAAAAGUUAGUACUAAUGCCGUACUCCCCUCCAGUUCAGUUUCUUGUGAGAUUGAAGUGGCAGAGGUGCCAAGACAAGACAACAAGGAUGAAGUUUUGGCUCUACAUUGCUAG